rnacentral:rRNA from 1 species
AACACAUGCAAGUCGUGCGAGAAAAUCCCCUUCGGGGGGUGAGUAGAGCGGCGCACGGGUGAGUAACGCGUGGAUAAUCUACCCUGGAGAUCGGGAUAACAGUUGGAAACGGCUGCUAAUACCGGAUACGAUUCUCUCUUUACAGAUUGGGUGAAAGGUGGCCUCUCCAUGGAAGCUACCACUCUGGGAUGAGUCCGCGUCUCAUUAGCUUGUUGGUGGGGUAAUGGCCCACCAAGGCUUCGAUGAGUAGCUGGUCUGAGAGGAUGAUCAGUCACACUGGGACUGAAACACGGUCCAGACUCCUACGGGAGGCAGCAGUGGGGAAUAUUGCGCAAUGGGGGAAACCCUGACGCAGCGACGCCGCGUGCGGGAUGAAGGUCUUCGGAUCGUAAACCGCUGUCAGGAGGGAAGAAACUCGUGGAUUCGAAUAGGGUCUGCGAUUGACGGUACCUCCAGAGGAAGCACCGGCUAACUCCGUGCCAGCAGCCGCGGUAAUACGGAGGGUGCAAGCGUUAAUCGGAAUCACUGGGCGUAAAGCGUGCGUAGGCGGCCUGCCAAGUCAGGUGUGAAAGCCCUCGGCUCAACCGGGGAACUGCACUUGAAACUGGCAGGCUAGAAUCUUGGAGAGGGUGGCGGAAUUCCAGGUGUAGGAGUGAAAUCCGCAGAUAUCUGGAGGAACACCAGUGGCGAAGGCGGCCACCUGGACAAUGAUUGACGCUGAGGUACGAAAGCGUGGGUAGCAAACAGGAUUAGAUACCCUGGUAGUCCACGCCGUAAACGAUGGAUACUAGGUGUCGGCCGGCAACGGUCGGUGCCGCAGUUAACGCGUUAAGUAUCCCGCCUGGGGAGUACGGUCGCAAGGCUGAAAACUCAAAGGAAUUGACGGGGGCCCGCACAAGCGGUGGAGUAUGUGGUUUAAUUCGAUGCAACGCGAAGAACCUUACCUAGGUUUGACAUCCUGCGAAUCCUCUUUAAACGAGGAGUGCCCUUCGGGAAUGCAGUGACAGGUGCUGCAUGGCUGUCGUCAGCUC